GAAACAAAAGAAGCCCUUCGUUCUUCAAGAAGAUCGAAGCCCGUUGCGAAAGGAAGCCAGCGGUCCAGCCGAGUUGGAAGACUCGGAAUCUUCAGUCGAGCGAAUAGCGUUUUCGGGUUUCCGAAUCGAACCCACGUCUUCAUUUUCACUCAAGUUCAUCUUUUUCGAUCGACCCGUAAGGUCUUCUGGAAACUUCUGCGUGUUUUCCGCUUUGAAUCGUCGCGCCAGAUGCUUCUGCUCUUCAAUUUGAUUCUUUUUUAUUCUGUUUUAAGUUAAUUUGCGUUGAUUUUCGUCGAUGUUGCGACUGUUUUUGCUGGUUAGAUCGUCUUUAACCUGGAGUUGUGCGGUUUCUAGCUCGGGUGGCUAGAAAAUAAGAAAGAUCUGCUUUGGUAAUCAAGAUAGAUAGUAGUGUAAGGAGGUGAAAUUGAGAUUUCAAAAAUGUUUUGUCGUGGUUGUUUUUGAGUCGUAAUUGCUGAUGGGUGUCUGUUGAAUUGCUUCAGUUGAAUUUGCUUGUUGGUCUAAAUGGCCUGCUUUCUUUGAAGUUUGAACUGGAGAUCAUUUUAUGCUUGAGUCGGAUAUUGGGAAUGUGAGUAAUUUGAGCAUGGACACAUCUUCUUCUAUUAGAAAUGGAGAUGAGCUUCUUUCCCACUUUUCAUUUUCAAUAUGCAUGCGAUUGUUCAAAACAAAGUUGAACAUAAUGUGUUGUUAAAUAUAUAGGAUCCUCAUGAUCCUUGAUGACCUCACAUAAUUUUGUAAUAGUAUAUAUUUUGCACUUGAGUUGCUGAGAUCUUACGUGGCAUGUGCAAGAUUUGAUUCCAUGUUCAAAGAUACGUGGUUUCUUAUUGACAGAUGGGGGAGCUCGCAGGCAAUAAACAUGUCAAGUAAAUAUUGUCCGUUGAAAAGGUAGGUAUGAAAUUUCACAAUCCUCUUCUUGUUUUCUUGUUCACUUCUUGCCAGUUACUGAAAAUGACUUGGCUUAUCUGGACUUGCUAUUCACAUUUCGGAGUUUACUGAUUUGAGGUUUUGGGUUGAUCUUGCGCUCAGAAAAAGGAUAGUUUUGAGUCGGUGGUUAUGGAGCACCUGAGAUUGAAUGGAGCAUAUUUGGGAUUGACCACUCUAGAUCUUCUUGAAAACUUGACACCGUGGAUUCAAAUGAAGUUGUUUUGUGGAUCCUGCAAUGCUAGCUUGAGUCUGGUUUGUAGUUAUUUAUCUCUUGGCUUCUUUCUUAAGUACCCAUGAAAAACAUGCAGUAUUUGAAAGAACGAUCAACAUUUUAGCUCGGGAUUAACAGAUUUCCUUUAUUACAAUAAUGACCACAUCUUAGGGGUCAUUAGUGUUGCUUUAUUCAUCUUUUAUUAUAG
rnacentral:lncRNA from 1 species